CCUUCACCUGUCUUACAGUUUCCCUACUAACAUCAUUCUUCUUUAGUCUAUUAUUAUUUCCUGUCCAUCAGACUGGAUGCCUUAUUGAAGUUUAGAAGGAUCGUAUCUCCAGAAUUUCCUUUGUCUUGAAAUAAAAGACAAGUAAAAGAGGGUGUCUGAUGCUGAAUUGUGCAUGUAGAGAGCAGAAUGAAUUCUCAAGGUAUUGUGCAAGCCACAAAGGCUGGGAUCAAGUUUCAUCUCACAGUGUAUUUACAGAGCAUGCCUGCCAUUGUCAGACUUGUCAACACUCAUGGUCUCUUUGCUUUUUACCCUAUGCUUAUCCCAUCUCUUCUUUCAUUAAAAAAUGUGAAUGUUUCUGUCCUUGUGGAUUUGUAAAGGGAAAAUAUAAUCCCCAAAGGCUUAGAAACCAGACAGCAAAUUAAAAAUGCC
rnacentral:lncRNA from 1 species